GUCAGAGUUCCCCCGCAGCCCCUCCGCGCAUCUCAAGAGGCUCCCCGCGCCGCUUGGAGUGCUGAGGGAUAGGAAGCAAGCGACGGUGAGUUGCGUGAAUCAAAGCACUUCGUUGAGCAUUGUGACUUUGAGGAAACAAUCAUCGAGGUGUUUGAAUUCCCAGGGACCAGAGAGUUGCCCUUGAGUUCUUCAUUGAGAGAAGUACGUCGUUCAUCGUGGAGGCAAAGAGUUUGUCACCAUCGAAGGGAAGAUCUUCAAUGGUACUCUGGGCCUCUCGAGGAAAGGAGGAGGAGGAGAGCCAUGAACCUUGGCACAUGACAACUGCUGUAGCAGUAGAUUUUGCUGCAGUAUUGGCUGCAUCGAGGGAUGCUUGAAGAGUGGUAUGUGAGAUGAUUUGUCCCUC